AGUCGUAACAAGGUCUCCGUUGGUGAACCAGCGGAGGGAUCAUUACCGAGUUAUACAACUCCCAAACCCACUGUGAACCUUACCUCAGUUGCCUCGGCGGGAACGCCCCGGCCGCCUGCCCCCGCGCCGGCGCCGGACCCAGGCGCCCGCCGCAGGGACCCCAAACUCUCUUGCAUUACGCCCAGCGGGCGGAAUUUCUUCUCUGAGUUGCACAAGCAAAAACAAAUGAAUCAAAACUUUCAACAACGGAUCUCUUGGUUCUGGCAUCGAUGAAGAACGCAGCGAAAUGCGAUAAGUAAUGUGAAUUGCAGAAUUCAGUGAAUCAUCGAAUCUUUGAACGCACAUUGCGCCCGCCAGCAUUCUGGCGGGCAUGCCUGUUCGAGCGUCAUUUCAACCCUCGAGCCCCCCCGGGGGCCUCGGUGUUGGGGGACGGCACACCAGCCGCCCCCGAAAUGCAGUGGCGACCCCGCCGCAGCCUCCCCUGCGUAGUAGCACACACCUCGCACCGGAGCGCGGAGGCGGUCACGCCGUAAAACGCCCAACUUUCUUAGAGUUGACCUCGGAUCAGGUAGGAAUACCCGCUGAACUUAAGCAUAUCAAUAAGCGGAGG
rnacentral:rRNA from 1 species